AGAGUUUGAUCCUGGCUCAGGAUGAACGCUAGCGGCAGGCUUAACACAUGCAAGUCGAGGGGCAGCAUAAUGGAUAGCAAUAUCUAUGGUGGCGACCGGCGCACGGGUGCGUAACGCGUAUGCAACCUACCUUUAACAGGGGGAUAACACUGAGAAAUUGGUACUAAUACCCCAUAACAUCAUGAAAGGCAUCUUUUAUGGUUGAAAAUUCCGAUGGUUAGAGAUGGGCAUGCGUUGUAUUAGCUAGUUGGUGAGGUAACGGCUCACCAAGGCGACGAUACAUAGGGGGACUGAGAGGUUAACCCCCCACACUGGUACUGAGACACGGACCAGACUCCUACGGGAGGCAGCAGUGAGGAAUAUUGGUCAAUGGACGCAAGUCUGAACCAGCCAUGCCGCGUGCAGGAUGACGGCUCUAUGAGUUGUAAACUGCUUUUGUACUAGGGUAAACUCACCUACGUGUAGGUGACUGAAAGUAUAGUACGAAUAAGGAUCGGCUAACUCCGUGCCAGCAGCCGCGGUAAUACGGAGGAUUCAAGCGUUAUCCGGAUUUAUUGGGUUUAAAGGGUGCGUAGGCGGUUUGAUAAGUUAGAGGUGAAAUGUUAGGGCUCAACCCUGAAACUGCCUCUAAUACUGUUGGACUAGAGAGUAGUUGCGGUAGGCGGAAUGUAUGGUGUAGCGGUGAAAUGCUUAGAGAUCAUACAGAACACCGAUUGCGAAGGCAGCUUACCAAACUAUAUCUGACGUUGAGGCACGAAAGCGUGGGGAGCAAACAGGAUUAGAUACCCUGGUAGUCCACGCAGUAAACGAUGAUAACUCGUUGUCGGCGAUACACAGUCGGUGACUAAGCGAAAGCGAUAAGUUAUCCACCUGGGGAGUACGUUCGCAAGAAUGAAACUCAAAGGAAUUGACGGG
rnacentral:rRNA from 1 species